rnacentral:rRNA from 1 species
UACAUGGGGUGCAAACGUUGCUCGGAAUUAUUGGGCGUAAAGCGCGCGUAGGCGGUUACUCAAGUCGGAUGUGAAAGCCCUCGGCUUAACUGAGGAAGUGCACCCGAAACUGAGUAGCUAGAGUACUAAAGAGGGUCGCGGAAUUCCCGGUGUAGAGGUGAAAUUCGUAGAUAUCGGGAGGAACACCGGUGGCGAAGGCGGCGACCUGGGUCGAGACUGACGCUGAGGCGCGAAAGUGUGGGGAGCGAACAGG